AUACAUUCGUACACAACGUUAGCACGUUAGCUUCCGCCGACUCACCGAGUGAUUAACGCCCCACAUAAAGACACUUUGGACAGGGUCGCUGGCUCGAAGCACUUUGAGCUUCUGCUGAACGAAGUGUUUCUUUUUCGUCUUAGUCUUAGGCGCCAGGACUACCAUAGGACUGGAGGUGGCCGCCGAGUUACCGACCGAAGCCAUGACCACCAACAGGCGGGCUUUCUCUCCGUCAGAGUCGUGAGAGCUGCUUACACUUCUUCUUGAAUGGAGGCUAACUGUUGCUCAGCCAGCCGGAGCUAAUCUUCCCAAUACUACCAAAAGUUACCCUUUGAGCUCGGAAUGUGUUACAAUAACAGAGCCGUUCUGAAGCGCUGUAUGGACGGCCCAUUCGUCAACUUGAACCGUGCUUGACAAGACCGUGGAAAUAAUAAUGGUUGACACGGCCUAUCACCGCCCCCUCCAGCCCAGCGAUGUUAUUAUCAACCACGUGGUGACUUUUUGACUGAGAGGAGCAGCGACCAAAGAAAACCUUCCAAGUCGGGCCUUCAUUCCAUAAUGCUUGGACAAAUGGGAUAUUCCCUGCGGUUACCUUGGAAACAGGCAUUUGAAAAUAGCAGAAACUCAUCUCUCACUCCCGUCGCACGGUAAA